rnacentral:rRNA from 1 species
AUUGAACGCUGGCGGCAUGCCUUACACAUGCAAGUCGAACGGCAGCACGGGAGCAAUCCUGGUGGCGAGUGGCGAACGGGUGAGUAAUAUAUCGGAACGUGCCCAGUCGUGGGGAUAACGUAGCGAAAGCUACGCUAAUACCGCAUACGAUCUAUGGAUGAAAGCGGGGGAUCGCAAGACCUCGCGCGAUUGGAGCGGCCGAUAUCAGAUUAGGUAGUUGGUGAGGUAAAGGCUCACCAAGCCGACGAUCUGUAGCUGGUCUGAGAGGACGACCAGCCACACUGGGACUGAGACACGGCCCAGACUCCUACGGGAGGCAGCAGUGGGGAAUUUUUGGGACAAUGGGCGCAAGCCUGAUCCAGCAAUGCCGCGUGCAGGAUGAAGGCCUCGGUUGUAACUAGCUUUGUUACGGUAACCGGAAACGGUACGGAGACGUCUAA